UGGACCCCACCCACUCCUGGCCUACAGGGAGACCUGCUGAGGGGAUGUCAGCCGUCCAAGCCACCUGCCAGGAUGCAGCUCGUGGUGGGCAAAUCAAGCCCAGCACAGCCCAGCGAGAGGCUUGACUCACAGGCAGACUCCCCCGCAGCCUCGGCUCCAGCAGACGCCCCAGGAGGCAGGAAGGCACUGGGCCUGUUAACGCAGAUUUCACAGAUGCCAGCCCCAGAAGGUGCCACAGAAAGGCCUGGGGGACACCCCUCAACCACCCUCUGUGCCUCCACUUCUCUGCGCAGACCUCACUGGCAGAGAGGAUACAGGGCUAGACCAAGCGGCCCCAGGGUUGAGGGCAGAGCAGCGGGAUCCCGGGGGGAAUCCCCAAGAGCCUCCCCAACUCUGCAGCCCCACUCACCCAAGCCAAGGUGGGUUCCUGGCUGCGGCCUGCCCGGCCUCUGCCCACACAAGGGGACAGCCCUAAGGGAGCAACGACCGUCUCAGCUCACGUCCUUGUGCAUGGAGACCGCCUGUGGCACUGAGACGAGUUCCUUGGUCUGGCAUUCAAGGCCCCCACCACUUUGGGCCCCCUUGUGCCAAGUGACCCUACAGGAUUCCUGCCACACCCCAACAGACCAACACCCUGCUGCAUCCCAGUCUUGGCCCCAGCAGUGCCCUGGCCUGGAGGCAACCGUGGCCUCUGCAAGCUCUGUCCCCACCCAUCAUCACUCAGCUGUCCCCAGGGAUCCUCCUACUGUGACGCCAAACACACCGUAACUCACACAUAACCGCUUCUCUGCCUGUGGCAGAGGCAGCGCUGGGAAAUGCAAGCCUGCCGCCUCCACUCCACAGGUGCCCAUGGACCCACAAGACACAGCAGAUGCGGAAGGCCUCGGCAUCCACCUGCAGAGCAGACUGGGCAGCAGGGUGCAUGGCAGAACCCGUGUGUCGAGUUUCUACACGCCCUGUAGCGUGACACGGUGGGCUCCGGCCCUGACCCCUCGCAGCUGCUGAGAUGACCACAGAUGGGCCCGAUCUGUCUGUCUUAGUUGGUUCAGCUGUAAACCAAGAACUGUAACUCCGUCCUCGCAGGACUGCAGAGACAGCGGUGCCUGACACACAGCAUGAGGGAGCAACAUGCACCCAGCUCUGUGGCACUCCGAGUGACACGAGCCGCAGAGAGUCGGACGCCUGCCAUUCCUUUUGUGUAAAAAUGGAAAUUCUGCAUGUCUAGGAUAUAUCACAAGGCCCAGGAACGGCCACACGCCGCCGCCGUGUUUAUCUCUGCAGAAGAGGGCCUUGGUCCCUCCUGCCACACCACUGCCCUCUUUUACAAGGGGAAUGUUCUCAUGUGUCGCUGAAGUUACCAACAAGUGAACUGGCCAAAAAGAAAAAAGACUGGAGGAAACAGACGGGCUGGAAGCAGGAGAGGUCGCCUGGUCCAGUCUUCCUCCCAUUGCAGGGAACAGAAGCCGGGAAGGAUGUGAACGGUCUGAGUCCCAGAGAUCACAGCAGCCGCCACAGGGCUAGACCCUGGGCCUUCUGGCCAGGCCGGGCACCUUGCUGGGUCUUGCCUUCUUUUGCCACCAGCUGACCAUGGGAAGCUCUAAAAGGGGCCAGGGGAGGGCAGGGUAGGAUUAGAGUUCACAGAUGACAGCUCCCAGGCCAAGGCAGCUGUGGGGAGCCGGGGUCCUGGUCCAAGCCCCCGCUGCCCUCCCCAGCCUGCUCCAACUCCCAAGAGCACGCUCUCUGCCUUAUUUGGCUUGGAAGAGAAACAUAAACACUUCUGUGUGAGUUCUUAUGCUGGUGGGCAGGGCCAGGCGGAGGAGAGGAAGAGGAAGGAGCAGGCGUGGUCCAGGGCACUCCCGGCAGCCACUGCUCGGCCCUGCUCUGCAAGGGAGCCUGGGGGACUUCCCUGCCACAACCCCAGGCAGAGCACGAAAGCCAAGCCCAGACCCAGAGGGGCCAUGAGGGCUCAGACGGAUCCCACUUUCUUAGGAAAGGAAGGCUGGCAAGGUUGGCCUAGGGGACAGGGGGAAGCCAGCUCCCCCAUCAGACCCCCCCCACUCUUUACAACGAGGCCUAUGGUGAAGUUCACGCACGCCACGUGGCCUAACCCCUCCGAGCUCUAGCACAGGAGCCUGAGAGCACACAGAGGUGGAGCCCGUGUGGGGAAGAGAACUGGGGGCUCCCCCAUUGGAGGCCAGACCCACCUUCACCAGCCACCCUGGCCUCCGGGCCUGCUCCACGCACGCUCUGGAACACCAGCUGCUUGUCAUUCUCUGCGAGAACCCCCACCUGCCCCUCGAAGGCCCCAGUGGACGUGGUACCCAGCCCCCACUCCACAAGCAGAGUUCUGCUUCCAGCGCCCACCGCCCCACGAGCCCGCCCCAGCCCUCGCCAGCAGGGCCUCUGUGCCCUCAGUGACCCUGGCACUGCCUAGGCUCCACUCUGCCCGGGCGCUGGACAGUCUCAGGCCAGAUCCUGUGUGCUCCUCUGUCCAUCCCGUCCCGCCCCGAGCUGAGGACUCAGGAAGCCCCUCUUCCUGCCUCACGGACAAAGGAGAGUUGAGAGAAACUCAAAAGCCUCGUCCACACCGCUGUGCAGUGAUGACAGAAAAUGGCUUCUAGAGCCCGUCACAAAGCUCUGAAAACCUCCGCGCCCUUCAAACCAUCCCUGCCAUCUCACGGGGGAACCCAAGGCCCUGGGGAGCAGCUCUGCCCAAAGGCAACAGCUGGACACGGCCACAGGGCAGGCAGCACCCAGGGAGCCCAGGACAGGCAGGGGCGAGAGGGGAGCCGCCCCGCCUUCAGCUGCAAGGCAGGAGGCAGUGAAGGGAAUGUUCCUUACCUACUGGGCCGCCAGCCAGCAGCCUGGGGCACCGAGGAGCUUCUGGAGCAUUUAAUUAGGUCUGUGCCUGGGUUUAAUUAGCUCGAUGUCCGGGUUUAAUUAGCUCAGUGUCCAGGAAACUCGAUUUUAUGGCUCAUAUCUGACUUGCACAGGGCAGAGUGCUGCAGGCCUGCUGGCUACUUGGGGCUGGGGACCCCCCGCACCUGCCACAGCCAUCUGCCCUCAGACCUGCUGGCGUGGAGAGCCAGGCCACUGUCGCAGACACACACAGCCCACAGCCCUUGGAGGGGUUUGCAGGGCAGUGAGGGGUCUGUGAACGAGGUGACUGUGAGGAAUGGAGGGUCAGCAGGCACCCGCUGUGUGCAGCCACAUGGGUGGGACUGGGGGAACAGACUCUGCCCAGGGAACGGGGCAAGGGUUCUCAUACAAGCCAGGGGUGACUCUACCGCGCCCGUUUCACAGAUGAGCACACAGAGGCUGCAGGAGGGGAGGGGUGCCCCAGGCGACCCAGUGGUGGGUAGAACAGCGGACCUGCACUCCUGGGCCUGAGCUCUUGCAGCACUGCCCUGCCCAGGAUGGCGCCAGGCUGAGUGACUCGGAGGGCAUGAUGAUGCCGACCGGAGUCCCAGCGGCACGGCCCGAGGCAGAAAGUCUGCCACACCACGGCAACCCUUGUGCUUGUGUGACGCGGAGGGCAAGCUGGGAAGUGCCUUUGAGGUCUCUCAAUGCUGCUCAGCACCCCACCCCCAUCUUCUUGGUACUUGGGGUCAUCAGUGAAUGACCCCAGCAUGGCAGGAGACUGAGCAGAGAUGAAAACAUCCCCCACCAAGUGGGGCCUGGGUGCCCUUCCCCGCCUUCCUCCCGACUCUCCCCACAGAUGACCGGCAGUGCUGCCAGGGUGUGGAAGCCCCAGCGUUUCUCCAUGUUGGGCUCCCCAGCAUGGCCACAGCUCUGGGCCUCACCCCUCACCCCUCUGCAGUGGAGAAGAGGUCAGAUUCCAGGGCAUGGGUGGGGCUGGAGUUCCGCCCCCCCACUCUUCGAGGGUGGGUUCCUCUCCAGCCUCCGAAGGGAGGAAACCAGGGCUUAUCUGCGCAGCCAUCUCUGGCACUGAUACAGGUAAAUAGGUGGGGACGGUGGGUGGAGGGUGGGGCCUCAGGAAGGAUGCGGGUCCCAGAUGUCUGACGGGGCCAACCCUGUGCUCCCACUGUGCCCUGGGAAGGGGCUGGGUCAGGCAGAGCUGCCUCUAUGAGCAGCAAGGCCUCCCUCUUGGCCCACCCAGAGCUGAAGAAGGGGCCCCCACUGUGCCCACACAGCAGGCACUCAGAGGGCUGGUGACAAAGUCAAGUCUCCAACUCAGCUGUCCUCCCUUCACAAACCAUGGCCUCAGUCACCUGACACCAGCAAUGGACACAGGGCGCUCUCCUGCCACUCUCAGAUGGUCCAAGUGGCUCGGCCCUGCCCACUGGCCCCCACCUAAGCUGCAGACACUGCCCUCCUGGAUCCCUGCUGCUCCAGAAUGCUGGGGAGGGCAGGACCCCCUCCAGCCUCAAGGAGAGAAUGUGCCUGGGGAGAAGGGGCUCCCAGCUCAGUGGCAAACCCUGAUGCCAAGGGCAGGCCCCUGGCAGUGCUAUGGCUGGAGCAGCUUGCCAGGUCACCUGAGGCAGAAAACAGAAGGAUGGGGUAGCCCCUGACCCUCUGGGUCUCUCGGCAGCCUGCAAGUGCCGCGUCAGGCCUGACCCUGGCUCUGUGCCAGGAAGCGGCUCCUGUUGUGACACUUGCCAGGUGGGGAAACCGAGGCAUGGUGGGCUUAUAGGGUGCUGUGUGGACACAGCACAUGUUCAGCCAGCCUGCACACCAGCCCCGACGAGGCCUGCCUGGGAAGGAUAGACAGCCACGAGCACACAGGUCCCAUGGGCUCUGUCCUGGAACCCCCAACCCCCAGCACACCCAUGUCCUCAUCUUACACCCAGCAGCGCCAGGCUGCAGGACUCAGGCACUGGCGGCUCCCUAAGAACCACAGCUUUCCAUGGGGGGAGCCCCUCUGGAGGGUGCAACCUCAACAGUCUGGCCCUGGGCAACCUGGACAGGGCACGGGCUGCAGGGGGAGCCAGUGGUGCCUGGCGUUCCAGGUCAUGAUUCACACCUGCCCAAGGCCCAGCUGCUGAGCUGGCAGCCAACAUCCUCUGGAGACAGAGAUGAGAUGCAGGGUCAGCUCCUGGUGGCUCAGUUAGGGCACUUCCUGGGGCCUCGCUGCCUCUGCAUGUGAGUGCCUCCUCUGUGAACAGGGUGGCCCAAGGCAGAUGCUGGAGGUGAGCAGAUCAGCUCCCGGACAGCAGGCAAACCCUGCUUCUUCUCUGGGACUGUCACUUCAUCUAGAAAGCAGGUAGGCCAGGUGUGCUGACCCCUGCCUAUAACCUAGCCCUUUAAGAGGCUGAGGCAGGUGGAUCACUUGAGCCCAGGAGUUCCAGACCAACCUGGCAACAUACGAAGACCCCAUCUCUAUUUACAACAAAACAGGAAGGCGCCAACAUGUCCUCGUUACCUGGAGCUGCUGGCCUGGGUCUGCCAUGAUACGAAUGUGCACAGUGACGUGCCUGGUCAGGGCAGCCCUUGGUAACAGCUGGCAGGUGUGCCCUGACACCUCGGACUGACCCGGGCAGUGAACAGCACAUCCAGAGGCCAUGGGGACCACACUGAUGACAGUGAUUGGCAUGGAGGGGCCGCUGUGAAGGUCUCGGUAAACAAGGUCACUCUGUGACCUGAAGCCGUCCCGCCCCCAGCAUUCCAGACUAAUUGAGAGGGUAGGAUUCCUGCCAAGACUGCCAAUCCACCUGAAAUGAAGGGUGGGAGGCGGCUUUGGAAGCUGCGAGGCAGUUCUCUGCGCUCUGUGAGGCCCUCAAAGCCAUCCUGCCCCAGGCAUACCUGCAAACCCACACACAGGGUCAGGAACAUGGGUCAGGUGUGGUUGGAAGCCCACAGUUCAGAGGGGUUUCAGGAGCCCACAGCCUCCUGGGGGCCAAAGUGCAUGAUUAGCCACAGUGAGCCCCAGAUGCAGAGUUGGGUCCUCAGGAAAGGCUCGUGGGGAGGGGGGCACCGGAGCAGGACCCGGAGGCAGGAAGGAUCUGGGAACUCCAGAUUUGAAGGUCCUGGGGGAAAAAUCAGAAGUCAGCAAGCUGCGGAGGGCAGGGGGAUGAGGCAGGACAUGCUGUGAGACAUGGGGUCUCGGCCACAGGAGACGGGGUCCUCUCGAAGCCCCAGCAGCAUGAAUGCAGCAACCCCUCCCUACUGGCUUCCUCCAGGCGCUCGGACCCCACAUCACCCAUUCUCCAGAGCUGAGGUCCACACCACCAGCGUCGCCGGGUCCCGAACAAGGCAGAUUCUCAGGCUGAGGCUCACCCAGACCCAGGCGAGGGCUGUGGCCCAUGUUCUAAAGGGUCCCCAGGGAGGCAUGAAUGUGCUCUCCAGGCAGAGGCCAUGCAUCAAAAUCUCCCUGCCAUGACCCGCCUUUGGCCCAUGGUGUCACGCGGGGACUUCCCAAAAUGAGGACUCCGCCCUCAGCAUCAGAGCGAGGGAGUCUGCCCUUGGGCUCUCUGGACACCUGUCAGGAGCAGACACUGGCAGCCAUUCCAACGAUGGCCCCAACAACUCACCCCAGACAGGCAACAAGGGCUUCCUAAGAGCCCUGACCACUACAACCCCCCAGCAGCACCUCCUCCUGCCCACUGUGUCCUCAGCAGUGCUGGGCCCAGGACUGAGGCUGGUGCAGACUCAAAGCCCCCACCCUGUUAUUUACCCAGCGGCACCCCGCACCCCUGGCCUGUCUAGACUGCUCCAGGGCCUGGUUACAGGCUGGCCUGCUCUCUGGGAACUCCCCCAGACGCCAGGGAGGAACAUCACCUGGCCACCUCCCUUGCCGGCAGGGUAGAAGCAGAGUCACCAGCCACUCAGAGGCAGUUCAUAGAGGCCAGGGGACACAGGCAGGUGUCUGGUCACACCCCCUUCAGAACCUUACCCCCUCUUCCCCUCGGGCCACUGAGGCAGGGCAGGAGAGGGAGGGGAAUCUCAGAGCAGGUGUCCGGGACAGAUGCACAUCUUGUCAGCAUAUUUCUGCAGGAGUCAGGAGUCUGCUCCUAGCUCAGCCCUCCCCUCUCUGUACCCUGAGUUCCCAGUAAGUGAAAUGGGGACAGAAUUGGGUACCUGCACCUCCAAGACAGUCUUGGCCCCCAGUGGAUGCCGUCCCAGAAGCACUGCCUGGACACGUGUCCAGGUGAGCACUGCUGGACAGCCUGGAGCCUGGCUCCCUGGUCCCUAGAGAGCCGAAGUCGCUGUCUCUAAUUUAUUUACUUAUUUUUGAGACGGUGUCUCGUCUGUUGACCAGGCUGGAGAGCAAUGGCGCGAUCUCGACUCGGCUGCAACCUCCGCCUUACAGGUUCAAGCAAUUCUCCUGCCUCAGCUGCCUGCGUAGCUGGGAUUACAGACACCUGCCACCACACCCAGCUAAUUUUUCUAUUUUUAGUAAAGAUCAGGUUUUACCAAGUCGGCCAGGCUGAUCUGGAACUCCUGACCUCAGGUGAUCCGGCCCCCUGGGCUUCCCAAGGUCCUGGGGCUACACGUGUGAACACCACGCCCGGCCGCUAUCUCUAUUUCAGGCGGGGGCUGAGGUUGGAGGAGCUGCCCAAAAGCUUGGCGGUGUGACCAGAGACGCCACGUGCAAGUCAGCACACGGCUUGUGUUCUCGGUCAGCAGCUUGGGUGCCGUGGUCACGCCUGCGGGUGCGGUGUGAGGCUUGAUCCAUUUGUCAGUGCAGCCGGGCCAUGCUGCCGUUUGGUCAAAUGCCAGUCCCAAUAUGGUGUGCAGGUAUUUUGUGAGACUGAUUUAAUCAUCAGAGGGCAUGAGGUCCUCAUCCAAUCAGCAGCCAGCACGAGGUCCUGAUCCUAUCAGCUGAAGGAAGAAGAGCCUCAUCCAAUCAGCAGACAGCAAGAGGUCCUGAUCCCAUCAGCUGGAGGAACAAGAGCCUCAUCCAAUCAGCAGACAGCACGAGGUCCUGAUCCUAUCAGCUGAAGGAACAAGAGCCUCAUCCAAUCAGCAGACAGCACGAGGUUCUGAUCCUAUCAGCUGAAGGAAGAAGAGCCUCAUCCAAUCAGCAGACAGCAAGAGGUCCUGAUCCCAUCAGCUGAAGGCACAAGAGCCUCAUCCAAUCAGCAGCCAGCACGAGGUCCUGAUCCUAUCAGCUGAAGGAACAAGAGCCUCAUCCAAUCAGCAGCCAGCACGAGGUCCUGAUCCUAUCAGCUGAAGGAACAAGAGCCUCAUCCAAUCAGCAGCCAGCACGAGGUCCUGAUCCUAUCAGCUGAAGGAACAAGAGCCUCAUCCAAUCAGCAGACAGCACGAGGUCCUGAUCCCAUCAGCCGAAGGAACAAGAGCCUCAUCCAAUCAGCAGACAGCAAGAGGGCCUCAUCCAAUCGGGUGAAGGCAGAAGAGAGAAGCCUGAAUGCCCCGGAAGAGAACUUCUCGGGGCUGCAACAGAGAACCGCCCCCUUCAGCGACUCCGACUGCGACAGCGGCUCUGGACAGCUGGCCCAGCUGGGGAUCUCGGACUAGCCAGCCCCACAAUCACGUGCGUCAUGUCCUUAAAAUAAAAUCCAUGGGCUAGGCGCGGUGGCUCACGCCUGUGAUCCCAGCACUUUGGGAGGCCAAGCAGGCGGAUCACCUGAGGUCGGGAGUUUGAGACCAGCCUGGCCAACGUGGUGAAACUCCGACUCUACUAAAAAUACAAAAUUAGCCGGGCGUGGUGGCGCCUGCCUGUAAUCCCAGCCACUCCCAGCUACUCGGGAUGCCGAGGCAGGAGAAUCGCUUGAUCCCUGGAGGGGGAGGUUGCGGUGAACCGAGACUGCACCACGGCAAUGCCCAACUCCAGCGUGAGCAACAAGAGCAAAACUCCAUCUCAAAAAUAAAUCAUCAUUUCACAGAAGUGUUUAAAAUGCAGAGAAGUACAAAGUAACACCCCAGUGACGGUUGCCACGGUCAGCCUGUGAGCACUUCCACACGCUCCUCCCAAGAUGUUUAUUUUACCAAGCACAGCUUCCUCCAUCAGCCCUCUGACGGGUCGGGUCGACUGGCUUCCCUAAUUGAUCGAUCAGCCUCAUCCUGGAUCAAGCUGAGGCACUCUUCACUCAUCUCCCCAAAAGGAAACACUCUUAAAGUGCACGAUCCAGUCCUCCGGAGCCUCAGUCUGUCCAGACAACCUGCCAAAGCCAGAGGAGGCCUGCAGGCAGCCCCACGGGACGACCGGCACGCGGCUCCCAGGACUCAGGACGAGGCUCCAGCACGCAGCUCCCAGGACGCGCCCCAGGGACCUCGGAGCCUGACGCCCGCGCACAGCCUGCUCUCUCCCCGUGACCCGCUCACACUUGCCCCACAGCCAGGCCCCGCCUGCAUCACUUUCUGGCUGUGGACUUGGGAGCCAGCUCCACCUUCAGGAGCCCACAGCUCCUGCCUGUGGGAUGGGGGAUGCCAUGGCUGCCUGGCCAGGCUAUUUCGAGGACGGCACAGUGAAGAGUCCAGGGCAGGUGAGGUCUCACUCCUUCCGUCAGCGGCUCCCAGCCCUGGCCCAGGGGCAGCUUGUUACCUCAAGCAGGGUAGAGCCCACCGCCCUGGGAGUAUCUAAGCUGGGGACAUGGGGACAGUCUGCCAGGACACUGGGCCGGGCAUUCUCCUCAGGGGCGCUCUGCAGCUGCAGUCCAUCAGGAGAGGUGGCCGUUAGCGCCGGGGCCCACCAUGGAUGGUGCCUGCCUAGGCCCCUGCCUCUUCCCUUGUCUGAACAUGGUCCUGGGUGGGGGUGCUCUCCUGCCGGCUGCCCAGCACAUCCACCACAUGGUGCCUUCUCUGCCAGUGACUCAGCCAGGCCAGUCAGCAGCCCAGCCCCACCAAGUCAUGCUGAGCACGCCCCACAGUUCUCAUGGAGCAGCCAGGCCCGGGCCAGCCAACCCCCACUGGGCCACCACCAGAGGUCUUGGCCUUACAUCCUCACCUGGGAGGCCACUGGGGUGCCCUGAGGGCUUGGGUGAGGCGCUCCUUAACCAUAGGGAGCCAGUGGGUGGCACUGGACGGACCCCCUGCCCUCACACGCCCUGGGUGCAGGUGAUUAAGAGGCUCGGUCCUGUCGUCUGCAGGCGGGGCCUGGGUGGAGUGGCUCCACCCCUCACAUCCUGUUGCAUUUUGCAAGGUCCUUCCGGCCCGUCACCUGGCAGGUUGUCCCAGUGCCGGCUCACAGGGAGAUAAAAAUCAACCUUGUGAAGGGCCCCACAGACACAGCAACUGCUGCUGGCACUGGGCCCAGCAAUGCAGGAACUCUGCACCCAGUGACCCCAUUCGGGAGGACCGGGCCAGUCCCCUUCUUAAAGAUGAAGUGCUAGAGGCUCAGAGAGGCCGAGGGACUUGCCCGGCCACUGGCCCAACAGUGCUGAGCAGCACAGCCAGGACUUGGCGCCGAGUCUGACACUAGCUCCCAGCCUGUGCGGCAGCCUGGUCCAGUCUUCAUGUCACCCCCUUGCGAAGGUGCGAGCUGAGGCAGCAGUGACAAGAAACCAGGCCAGGCGGGGGCUCCCAACCCGUGGGCUCCAAGUCCAGCAGGCAGGGAGGAGCACGAAGCUUUACUGAGCAGGGGGCACUGCCACGACUCCAGCCGCUGCUGGGCUCAGGGGCCACACCGAGGUUGCCCAAGUCGAACCUUGGCGGGGCCACUCUAGGAGUGACAGUGUCCAGCGGGAGUCCCAAAACAGCCAUGGGUGUCCCUCUCAGCCCAGUCAGAGCAGGGCCCUACGGAGGUCCUGGGUGGGACAAGGCUGCAGAGGUGACACCAGCGGGGCCGAUGUCCAGAUGCCCAUCCAGCUGGGGCCCCAGGCCCUCCUGAGACUCUGGGCACAGCUCUCAGAAUGACCAGCUCUGGUGCCACUGAGACCCCGGGAUCCAGCACCUGCGUCCAGUGCUGAAGCCCUAAGUGUGUGUCUGAGCUGGGAACGAGGGCCUGGAACCCCAACAAGUGAGCUGGGGAUUGGGACAGCUAAGCGGGCUCCUGUGGCCUAGCCACCGCCAUGAACGACCGCUCGGAACGUACUUUCCAUGUGGGCCUCAGGCUCAGGUACAAAUAACCAACAGCCAUGCUGGAGCUGAGGGCCCUGCCGGCCCCGUCCACACCACAGGGCAGGCCCCACUCACAGGGCCCCUGCUGGCCCCACCCAUGCCACAGGGCAGGCCCCACUCACAGGGCCCCUGCCAGCCCUCACUCACACUGUCCCUACAGGCCCCAAGUCUACAGGCAGAGAGAUGGCCAGAGUGUGGCAGAGGGCAUGGCUUCCUCCCCCAUAAAAAGGCCCGUGCCCCCUCCUCCCCAUUCUCUGAGGGGGAAUGCCCACAGCAGCCCUGGUCCAGUCUUCACAUACUCCUGAGGCCGAAGGCUGGGAUGGGCCAUGGCAGGGACAGCCUCCCCUCCAAAUGCCCAUGGGACAUGUGAGUGGAGGCACAUGGCUUCCAGCUGGCCCCAGGGGUGCCUGGCAGGCUCUGUCAGCCUCUGGAAUGUGACUCGGCCUGUCUGUCCACCCAGAAGCUUCUGGCACUCCAGGGAGCUCAAGCUGGCUGUGCUCUGGAGGAGCAAUUACUCCUCCAUCUGUCACCAGCGGCUCCAGCCAGCUCUCAGGUCCACGAGCCUCCUCCCUCUCUGGUCUCACUGAUUCAGACUGAGCCUCCUCCUCCGGCCCCCAGUAACUCCUGGCCUCAAGCCCAGGCUCUCACUCAGGGGAUCGGAGUAGAGGGGAGGCCCGGGAGACAGAACUUUCCUCCAGUAGCGGGAAGCCAACGAGGGACCCCUGAACAGAAACUGCAGAGGAGGUCUGUCCACCCGGCCUGGGGGCCAGAGAGGAGGUGGGCAGGGAGAAGGGCCUUGCCUGAGACCAGAGGUGGCCAGGGGCCGAGGGUCGGCAGGAAGCCAGGCAUCUGAGUGCAGGGCAGCCGGCCUCCACAUGGCCCUGCACAGCCUGGCCUCACUAGGGGAGGGGAGAAGACAGCGGCUGGUGCUUCCCGCUAAAAAAACCCCAGGGGCUCAAGGCCACCCCUGAGGCAUCUAGACUCCUAGGGGCAGAGCCUGAUAGGCAAGGGCUGACAGGUAGGUCAGGGGUGUAGACAGCAGCUUCUCCAUGCAGGGAGAAGGGUCUGGCCAUCCCACACCAGUGUCCUCCUGGGUGGUCUUAGGAAUAGGGUCACUCGACCUCAGCCCCCCAGUGCAGGGUCCCACCGGAGCUUGCUCUGGGCACUUCUGGCCCUGCUGAAAGUCCCCUCAGGUGCCACCAUCCCUGAUCGCCAAUGCCUCCGGGCAGGUCCCUCAAGUCCCUUCAGCACCGCAAUCCUCCUCCCCCCAGGCACUGCUGACCUUCAGAGAUUGGGGCCCUUCCAGGCCACUCUCUCCCCUGGCUAGAAAGGUCUGUGUCCACCGAUAAGGUCUGGGACACAGCUCCCAGCCCCACAGGAACAAGUCACCAGGCAGGGCUGGGUGGGCAUGUCCUGGGACCCAAGCAUCAAAGCGCACCUUUGUCACCUCCUCCCAGCCUCUCUGCCUGCACGCCCUUCCCAUCCAAGGACAGCGACACCCAGUGACACCCUGACCAGGCUGUAAUAAUAUAAACUAGAGGCCCAGUGUGGUGGCAGGUUCCUGUAAUCCCAGCUACUAGGAAGUCUGAGGCAUGAGAACUGCUUGAACCUGGGAGACGGACUUUGCAAUGAGUAGACUGUGCCACUGCACUCGACAGAGCAACACUCUGUCUCAAUAAAUAAAAAGUAAUAUAAACUGCAGAGAGACACCCAUGGGUGCUGAAUGGGGGAAAACAGCCUCCAGCUGUGACAGCCCAGCCAGGGCAGCUCAGGGUCAAGGAGACUCACUUCUGGGCGCCCAUGUGCCCUGCAGCUGUCCAGGCACCUCUGCACACUGCGUGGAGGAGAAACAGGGGUGGGCGCCACUGGCCCAGCUGCAGGUCUCAGUGGGGCUCCAGAAAGACUGAAAAGGAAGCUGGAAAUGGCCACACUGAGCCCCUGAGGAGUGACCGACCAGACAAGGACAGAAUCCAGGGUGAAGGAACCACUUGUCUCAUACCACAGGGACUGGGGAGAGCGCUCCUGGGCCCCCUGGGGCUCCCUGGAGGAUUCAACAAGAAACGGGGCACCCAGAGCCAGCUGUGCAGGAGGGAGCAGUGCCCACACAGUCUAAAACACCCCACUCAGCACAGCCUCUGGGGCACUGAGACCAUCCAGUCCCUCGGACAUGGGCCUGCAAGCCCUGGGAAUUAACCCCAGGGAACCCCUCAAAGGAAGGAAAGACAGACACAAAGACGGUCGCUACGUAACAACGGGGCGGUGCUGGGAGGAGGCUCACUCUGCAGGGACCCAAAGGAACCCACUCCACCCAGCAGACACCAUGAGGCCCCGGCCCGGCCACUGAGGACCCAAAGGAACCUGCUCCAUCUGGUAGACACCCAUGGAGGCCCCGGCCCAGCCACUGGGGACGACAGAGUCCCGGUCGUGCUGGUGACACCCAGGAUGGAAGGGAGUGAGGGGACGGGGCUGCGGAGCACAGCGGAGGGGCUGUCCCUGACCCUGACAGGCCGCAGGCCCUGGGGAGAGGCCUGGCUGCUGGACGGUGAGCAGGAAUGCCCAACAGCCGGCAGGAGCGCCUGGCACAGGCUGCUGCAGGAGGCAGAGGCCCCCACACGGGACACAGAGGAUGCCAGGGCAGUCCCAGUGGCCAGGAGCCAGGCAGAAGAGGCCCAGUGCAAGCCAGAUGCCACAGCCGCCCACGCAGGGAGAGGACGCUGAGGGGCAGGUGGAGCCCCUGACCAGAACCCCCCAAGAUCGUCUGGGAUUCAUCUGAAUAAAACACCUGCUUUUAAAAAGACGUGGUGGGGCCACGCAGUGGCUCACACCUGUAAUCCCAGCAUGGCAGGAGGCUGAGGCGGGUGGAUUACCUGAGGUCAGGAGUUUGAGACCAGCCUGGCCAACAGGGUGAAACCCCGUCUCUACUAAAAAUAAAAAAUUAGCUGAGUGUGGUGGUGGGCGCCUGUAAUCCCACCUACUUGGGAGGCUGAGGCAGGAGAAUCCCUUGAACUAGGGAGGCAGGGGUUGCAGUGAGCAGACAUCAAGACACUGCACUCCAGCCUGGGAGACAGAGCACGAGUGUCUCAAAAACAAAACAACAACAACACACGCACAAAGACACAGACACACACACACACACACACACACACACACACACACACACAAAGUCAUGGCGAAGACAAGGGAGAGGCGGCUUCAGGCAGGGAGCACUCGCAGGAGGCUGGCUGACAGUACGAACAGGUCAGAACAAAAGACCCCGUCAUUUAAACCCCUGGGAGACUUGAGACUCCUCAGAAGGCACCGCACACACAGAUGAGACCCUCGUGAGGCGUCCAGUUCAGGCAGCUCAAAGCCACGGGAGGCCACGGCCAGAGCCCGACUCCAGCACGUGCAGGGCCGGCCGUGGGGCAGUUGGGGCCUCAGACCCAGGGGCAGUUUCCUUUCAGGUUAAACACGUGUCACUGGGGACCUGAGAUGCAGGGCUGGGAUCUGGCAGCUCAGUUAAGGCACUGCCGGGGCUCAGCUCCCCUGGGAGGGCUCUGCUGGCUGCACCGGUGUGAGAAGCUCCUCUGUGCACAUCUGGGAGGGGAGGGAAGGGUGAGCGUGUGUGCUCAGGGCGUCUGGGGAGGAGAAGCUGCUAGAGGUUAGCGGGGAACAAACAGGAGGGAACUGAGGGGCCCCACACAGGGGGAGGGCGGAGCAGGGGAUUCAGCGAUGGGACUGACCGUGGAAGGGCCACGGCUUGGGACAGAACUGUGGGGCCGAAGCCUGGCUUGGGGCGAGCCAGUCCGCUGCUGACAGCCACUCUGCCACCCACGGCCCUGAGCCUGCGCGUCGUGUGUGCAAUGUGGCAGCUGCUGCCGCCGUCUGUCCCAAGAGGGAAAUGUGUAUGCG